GUCAGGUUGGCCGAGCGGUCUAAGGCGCCGAAUUUAAGCUCUGGUUCUCGAAAGGAAGCGUGGGAUCGAACCCCACCUGACA